AUGCCGACCGAUUCGGCCUGGAUCCGGACCAG
rnacentral:scRNA from 1 species